rnacentral:rRNA from 1 species
AUUGAACGCUGGCGGCAUGCCUUACACAUGCAAGUCGAACGGUAACGCGGGGCAACCUGGCGACGAGUGGCGAACGGGUGAGUAAUGUAUCGGAACGUGCCCAGUCGUGGGGGAUAACGUAGCGAAAGCUACGCUAAUACCGCAUACGAUCUGUGGAUGAAAGCGGGGGACCGUAAGGCCUCGCGCGAUUGGAGCGGCCGAUAUCAGAUUAGGUAGUUGGUGAGGUAAAGGCUCACCAAGCCGACGAUCUGUAGCUGGUCUGGGAGGACGACCAGCCACACUGGGACUGAGACACGGCCCAGACUCCUACGGGAGGCAGCAGUGGGGAAUUUUGGACAAUGGGCGCAAGCCUGAUCCAGCAAUGCCGCGUGCAGGAUGAAGGCCUUCGGGUUGUAAACUGCUUUUGUACGGAGCGAAAAGGCUUCCACUAAUACUGGAGGCUCAUGACGGUACCGUAAGAAUAAGCACCGGCUAACUACGUGCCAGCCGCCGCGGUAAUAC